CGAAGUUAAGCUCGAUUGGGCGCGGUUAGUACUUGGAUGGGUGACCGCCUGGGAAUACCGCGUGCUGUAGGCA
rnacentral:rRNA from 1 species